CCUACGGGAGGCAGCAGUCGAGAAUCAUUCACAAUGGGGGAAACCCUGAUGGUGCGACGCCGCGUGGGGGAAUGAAGGUCUUCGGAUUGUAAACCCCUGUCAUGUGGGAGCAAAUUAAAAAGUUAGUACCACAAGAGGAAGAGACGGCUAACCCUGUGCCAGCAGCCGCGGUAAUACAGAGGUCUCAAGAGUUGUUCGGAAUCACUGGGCGUAAGGCGGGCGUAGGCUGUUUCGUAAGUCGUGUGUGAAAGGCGCGGGCUCAACCCGCGGACGGCACAUGAUACUGCGAGACUAGAGUAAUGGAGGGGGAACCGGAAUGCUCGGUGUAGCAGUGAAAUGCGUAGAUAUCGAGAGGAACACUCGUGGCGAAGGCGGGUUCCUGGACAUUAACUGACGCUGAGGCACGAAGGCCAGGGGAGCGAAAGGGAUUAGAUACCCCAGUAGUC
rnacentral:rRNA from 1 species